rnacentral:rRNA from 1 species
CCUACGGGAGGCAGCAGUGGGGAAUAUUGCGCAAUGGGCGAAAGCCUGACGCAGCGACGCCGCGUGAGGGAUGAAGGUCUUCGGAUCGUAAACCUCUGUCAGCAGGGAAGAACGGUCACUGUGCUAAUCAGCAGUGAAUUGACGGUACCUGCAAAGGAAGCACCGGCUAACUCCGUGCCAGCAGCCGCGGUCAUACGGAGGGUGCGAGCGUUAAUCGGAAUUACUGGGCGUAAAGCGCUCGUAGGCGGUAUGUCAAGUCAAGGGUGAAAUCCCCGCGCUCAACGUGGGAACUGCCUUUGAAACGGGAAAAGGUGAGUGUGGGAGAGGAUAGUGGAAUUCCGGGUGGAGGGGUGAAAUCCGUAGAUAUCGGGAGGAACAGCAGUGGAGAAGGCGACUAUCUGGCACAUAACUGACGCUGAGGAGCGAAAGCGUGGGUAGCAAACAGGAUUAGAUACCCGUGUAGUC